CCGCCCGUCACACCAUGAGAGCUGGCUCAACCAGAAGUAGUUAGCCUAACCGCAAGGAGGGCGACUACCACGGUGAGAUUCAUGACUGGGGUG
rnacentral:rRNA from 1 species